UGGCCGGGUCGGAACUCGUUAAUACAAGCGACCGGCCCACCGCCGGAGCUUGCCGCCGACGAUGAAACGUUAUAAUCCUCGCCUCAUUUCGCCACUUGUGCCGGGCAGCGGGACAAGCUUGAGAACGCAUAAAAAGACAUAUUUCGUGUGCGAGAGGGACUCCCUGCCCUCCCCGGGGCUCAACCUUUGGCUCUGCGGAGAAGUGUUACUUUUCAACAGCCCAUCAGCGUCUUUAUCGUCACAGAUAGGUGGAGGAAGACCUGGCUCGUCUCGACGAGACCGAAUAAAAGGCUCCCUCCUCGGUCCACUCGCCGAAAACUUCGGCUCCAACCCCCCCCUCCCAACCUCCAGUCAACUUACUCGGUCGCUUUGUAGUCCGCUCGUCGCCGAUGGUCGACCAAGGAAUGUUUACUGUGGGGUUAAACUGGAUAAAUCGUUGCUUUUUUUGAAAAUCCAAGGGAUAUCCUCCUUUUUCAGCCCUCCCCGCUGCCGCGUCUGUUGCCAAAUAAUGCGCCUCAACACACAUGGAGCCGCUGCGUCCUCUUAGUGGGCAUGCGCACCUCGGCAUACCAGGGCGACCGGAUCACAUCAUGUACUGUAAGCCGUUGACCACCAAGGGCCAAGAUGCGAAGAGCAUCCCAACAUACUGCACAAGGAGUCACCCAAGUGUGAAGCGGGGGGCCGCCACUCUCUAACAGAUGAUGCUGUGUCAUCAGGUCUGAUUGUCUGCCUCCCUCUCAUCACGUUGCUCCAUCUCCAGAGGCUGUUGUGCUCCAUUUCAUACAGUGCAGUGGCAUCAUCUCAAUGUCACAGAACUGCAAAUAAUCUGUGUAUCUGUGAUGUUAGUGUAUCUUCUCAAGGAAUCAUACUGCAAAAAUGAAACUUGGAUGUUAUUUAGAGUAGUCAGUGUACAACUUGUAUAGUAGUAUACUGUGCACUGAAAAGGAGUCAACACAAAGCCAUU